rnacentral:rRNA from 1 species
UUGCUUUUGAAGAUCAGCGGCGGACGGGUGAGUAACACGUGGGCAACCUGCCUGUAAGACUGGGAUAACUUCGGGAAACCGGAGCUAAUACCGGAUAAUCCUUUCCCUCACAUGAGGGAAAGCUGAAAGACGGUUUCGGCUGUCACUUACAGAUGGGCCCGCGGCGCAUUAGCUAGUUGGUGAGGUAACGGCUCACCAAGGCAACGAUGCGUAGCCGACCUGAGAGGGUGAUCGGCCACACUGGGACUGAGACACGGCCCAGACUCCUACGGGAGGCAGCAGUAGGGAAUCUUCCGCAAUGGACGAAAGUCUGACGGAGCAACGCCGCGUGAACGAUGAAGGCUUUCGGGUCGUAAAGUUCUGUUGUCAGGGAAGAACAAGUACCGGAGUAACUGCCGGUACCUUGACGGUACCUGACCAGAAAGCCACGGCUAACUACGUGCCAGCAGCCGCGGUAAUACGUAGGUGGCAAGCGUUGUCCGGAAUUAUUGGGCGUAAAGCGCGCGCAGGCGGUUCCUUAAGUCUGAUGUGAAAGCCCCCGGCUCAACCGGGGAGGGUCAUUGGAAACUGGGGAACUUGAGUGCAGAAGAGGAGAGCGGAAUUCCACGUGUAGCGGUGAAAUGCGUAGAGAUGUGGAGGAACACCAGUGGCGAAGGCGGCUCUCUGGUCUGUAACUGACGCUGAGGCGCGAAAGCGUGGGGAGCGAACAGGAUUAGAUACCCUGGUAGUCCACGCCGUAAACGAUGAGUGCUAAGUGUUAGAGGGUUUCCGCCCUUUAGUGCUGCAGCAAACGCAUUAAGCACUCCGCCUGGGGGAGUACGGCCGCAAGGCUGAAACUCAAAGGAAUUGACGGGGGCCCGCACAAGCGGUGG